CUUCACCUAGUAUCUCACCUGGCAGACCCAAGACAGGGACUCUCCCACUGGAACUUGGAAGGAAGAUGGAAGAUACCUUGGAGGGCUUUAGGAAGCCUCCGAGUCCCAGAGUUAACCAACAGCACGGUCACAUAAUGCAAAGACAAUGAAAAGUAUCUUGUCGGGUGGCACUUUCCAUCCCUAGGACACAUUGUCCGUCUGGAGGAAAUGCAUGCCCGGACCUCCAGAAUAUUGACCCUGAAUUCCAUCUCCAGAUCUUCCUGGAAAAUCUAUACCUGGCUGCCUGCAUCUUGGAAUUGCUUUCAACCACAGGCCUCUGCUUUUGAGAACAAAGCAGCAUGAGAGGGUCCAGCCCUCUAUUGCUCAGGUUCUGGGUAAAGAGAGCCAUGUGGGCCAAGACUCAUGUGGAGAUCAGAAGACAACCUGGAGAAGUUGGUUUCCUCUUUCUACCAUGUGGACCAGAGAGCUGGAAUUGAUGUUAUCAGUGUGAGCUUCGAGUGUCUGAAGAGUCAUGGAUUGCAGCAGUGCUGAGCUGCUGUGUGCUCUGAGUUCUUUCUUCCAUCGCAGACUAAAAACCGAAGUCAGCAAACCACUGCCAGCUGCUGGAAUUCCACUGGUACCUGGUUGAUAGGGCCCAUACAGGAAUACCACUUACUGAUCAGUCUUAAGUACAGCAAAGUUAUUUCUUGCCUUUCUGGUUAAAGGGAAUAUAGAAAUGUGAAAUGGGGAGGGAGGAAACCUCAGAGAAAUGGGAGCUUUGGAAACCAAACCAAGACCUGCGCACCCUGUUCAUUUUCAGGACAGGUCCAUCACAUGCACACACUGUUUAUCACCAGAGACGGGGUCCACCAUUGGAGGAUGUUUUUGUGCAGUGUGCAAAGACUGCCCUUGUGUUAUUCAGAUGCUCAUUUCUGAACCAGCAGAGAUCUGAUUUCAGGCCAUAUGUGGUAUUGUUAAUCAUCUCCUGCCUUAGGAUUUUGUAAACAUUGUUCUCCAUCACCUUAUGAAAGCCGAUGGCCUAUAGCAAAAGUG
rnacentral:lncRNA from 1 species